GUCUCUGUAGUACAUUAAAUAUACCGGUCUUGUAAACCGGAGAAGGAGAAUAGCUAACCUCCCUGAGACU
rnacentral:tRNA from 1 species